rnacentral:lncRNA from 1 species
GCGAAUGUGUGUUGCACUUAGUUUGUUGUUGUUUAAUGUCAUUUGUUCCUAAGUUUGAGAAUUCCGAAUUAAUUGACAUAUUAAAGGUGUUUGUGAUGUUAUCCGUCUUUUAUUUUUAUCUUAGCAGUUUCCUUCUCCCUUCCCUCAUACCAUUGUUGUGAACAGACUAAGUCUUAGCUUGGAGCAUCUAUUUGUGUUUUACUGGUUUUCGAUUUAACUGUUCUUUGUUUGCCAUUGAAUCUAAAGCAUCCGGAUUCAAAGAUUUUCUCUUUCUCUUCCUUUAAAUCUAUUGAUUGCUUUGAUCUCGCUAAAUUCCUUGCCUCAAGUCUUUUCCUUGAUUUAAGCAUGCGAUUCAGAUAGAUUAAUUAAAAUUGUAUUGAGUUAAUAAAUAUGUGGGUUAUUAACUUAUUGAAGAGUUAUACAUUUGAGGUGAAAUGAGUUGGAUGAAGUUAAACUAAAUACUUCAUUUGUUCCAAAUUACUUGUCCAAUUUUUCUUUUUUACUGGUACAUUUUGACAAAUCAAAGAGAGAACAAUUUUUUUUUACCUAUUAUACCCUCAAUUAAUUAAUUUUGAAAAAGGUAGAACUUCUUGAAAAUCUUAAAUUUUUAAUUUAUCCACUUCAUAAUUAAUAGGGGUAAAAUGGUAAAUUCACUAUGUCAAUUGUUAUAGGUGUGUCAAUUUAAAAGUGGACAAGUAAUUAGGGACAGAUGGAGUAUAUAGUUGAGCAUAUUCUACUUUGAAUUUGAUUGAAAUUUCAACGGAGAAGGGCCUAGAAUGCCCUCAAGUGUUUGAAUUGGUACAAAAUUACCCUCCAUCCACCUAUCGGGCCUAAAAUACCCCUAACGUCCACCUUUCGGCUCAAAAAUACUCUUAUGUCUAACAAAUAAUACUCAUUAGGUGGAUGGAGGGUAAUAUUGUACCAAAUAUCAUAGUUUAAGGGCAUUUUAGGCCCUUUUCCGUUAAAAUAAUUUGAAAUUACAUAAUAUAUAAGCUCACAUGAUUGAAUUGAUUUUAAAUUUCAUAGUAAAUUUUGUUGACACCCAAUUUUGAUCCUCCCCGAUAGAAAUUAAUUUUCGAGCUUCUUAGAUUUCAAAUGAUUUAGAAUAAUUAGUUUAUAAAAUAUUUUUCAAGUUUUGAAUUGAUUUUAGUCAUUUUUAUAAUAUUUAAAUAACACAUGGUUCUUACAUAUUUAUUGAUAUAUUUUAUAAAUAUUUGACAACCAUAUCAAAAGAUUUCUACAUUAUUAAAUAGUUAUUUUUUUUUUAAAUUUAGUUUUGGUUUGAAUUAUAGUUUUAACUUUAAAUUAAUUAGUUUAUAUUUAAAUCGACUAGUUUACAAUUAAAUUAAUUAUUUUAUUUUGUUAAGAUUAAGAAGCUCGUUAAUUAAUUAAUAUUAACCCGUCUCAUCUAGAUUUAGCCAAAUUUGCAAAUUAGUAAGGCAAUUUGGCUAUUUUCCUUUUAACAUAAGUUGAUCUAGUCCUAAAUAGGUCAUCCUUAACCAAUAUUUAGCAAUACAGAGAUCAGCCCACUAAUUUCUCAUUCUUAAUUCCCCUCAGCUCGUUAGUGCCUUCAAUUCCAGAAAAUCGGGCCUAACUUCAACUCCCACUCCAAUUAUUCAAUUCCAGCCCACUUCAUAACAUUCAACAGACCCAAUUCCCUUAUGUUCUCCAAUUUUCAGACCCAAUCCCAACAAAGAUGGCUAUGAUGUUAUUGAGUUUCUUGUUCCUGGAGAUAAUGUACAGUUACUAGCGGAAAUGUAUACUAAUUUAUCCCAGUUACCAUAAAUUCCCAGCUCACCAACAUACAAAUACAUUACACUAAUACAAUAUCGAAAUUUUUUAUUAUGGUAGAGGCCCAACCAAUCAAAGUUGGGUGAGGCUCCAUCCAUUUUUUGACAUGUGAAUCGUGGGGGCCCAAGCUAUUAGUCAAGGCUGAAAAACGAAACCGAAAGGAGAGAGAAUGUAAAGUUUUAGUGGGAAUUGCAAGACAAUUGUGGGGUUCAUGUCAACUUCAAUUAAAUAAAUUAAAUAUUAUAUUGAAAGGUGAAAAGUGUACAGUAAAAAAGGUAAGGAAAACUUUGAAUAUAAUAUCUAAUUUAUUUAAUUGAAGUUGACGUGAACCCCACAAUUGUCUUGCAAUUCCCACUAAAACUUUACAUUCUCUCUCCCUUUGGUUUCAUUUUUAAGCAUUAACUAAUAGCUUGGGCCCCACGAUCCACAUGUCAAAAAAUGGAUGGAGCCUCACCCAACUUUGAUUGGUUGGGCCUCUACCAUAAUAAAAAUUUUCAUACAAUACCCAUACAACCGACAAUACAACAAUAUCAGUACCAAAACGACCCCCACAUGUCUUCUUCCUCGCAAAACUAAACUCCAGCGAACUUAAAUCGCUAACGAAACCUAGAAACCCAAAUCGCAACCCAACAAAGCGAAUCGACCCAGCAGCAUUCGGCCCAGGAGCAGCCCAGUUGCGCGUGAAUAUUCGAGUGAGCCAGAUGGAAGCAUCUUGACGUCUCGCUCGCCCUUCUCAAGAAAUCAAAUGCCUCAAUCGUUGUCCCGUUGAGGAGCUGUACAAUUUCGGACAGAAAUUCAGGCUGGCAGCCUUAUCUCUAGAGAGAUUUCGAAUUUCAAAAUUUGAAUUUCACCCGAUUUUCCUCCCGUUUUCCCCCCUAAAUCAACCCAAAAUCUCCUCUAUUUAAGGGUCUUCUUCUUCAUUAUUUAGGAUGGCUUUUGGCUGGUAGAGGAACAGAAAGAAAUAAGAGGAAAAGUUUGGAAAGGGAUUACAAAACACAACUUAUAUUGAAAGCAACUAAAUUUUUAUUUUAGAAAUACAGCCGAACAGGCUCAGUUUUCUAUUUCAAUUCUCGCUUUGGGCGUCAGAGUUUCUCAGAGUCGUAUUCCGGUGUGAAAGCUCGUGGUCUCAAGCUCGACGUCCUAGUUCGUUGCCCCCAAAAAGGUAAUACUUCUCGUUCGAUAACAUCUUCUCCGUCUCUUCUUUUAUUCCGAUCUUUGAUGUUGGAAAAUCUCCUUUUGGUGGUUGAUUUUCUACUUUGUGUUUGAGUUCUGAUCGAUUUAAUAUGACAUAUGUGUGUAGGCGUUUUCAUGAGUUAACUUUAGUGUCGAUUCAAGCUUUACCGUCCUAUAUUUAGCAUUAGUGUUUCUCUGUGAUUGUAUUUAAAUUCUGCUUUUGUUGUCUCCCCUUUCGAGUCUGCUUCGCGAAUGUGUGUUGCACUUAGUUUGUUGUUGUUUAAUGUCAUUUGUUCCUAAGUUUGAGAAUUCCGAAUUAAUUGACAUAUUAAAGGUGUUUGUGAUGUUAUCCGUCUUUUAUUUUUAUCUUAGCAGUUUCCUUCUCCCUUCCCUCAUACCAUUGUUGUGAACAGACUAAGUCUUAGCUUGGAGCAUCUAUUUGUGUUUUACUGGUUUUCGAUUUAACUGUUCUUUGUUUGCCAUUGAAUCUAAAGCAUCCUGAUUCAAAGAUUUUCUCUUUCUCUUCCUUUAAAUCUAUCGAUUGCUUUGAUCUCGCUAAAUUCCUUGCCUCAAGUCUUUUCCUUGAUUUAAGCAUGCGAUUCGGUACAUGUUAAUCUUCCAGCAGGGGACAGAACCUUAAACUGGUUAACAUGGAGUUUAAAUGUAUUUUAAGCAUGUUUGUUGUUGUCCUAGUUUUGGGGCAUUAGAUGUUGCUCAAGCAUGAUAGUUUCUUUCUUUUCAAGCAUGUUUUGAAGCAAUAUAAUUAAUUAGCUUUUCUUUAUUUUCUUUUAAAAAUGCAUGUGCUAGUUGGAAUAUAUCUUAUUGGAUUUAUUUUCUCCUAGUUUGAAAAUAUAUAUGUUGAUUGUGUUCUAGUAAUUGUUUCCUAUGCAUAAUCACUUGUAGAACUAAUUAUUUCUUAACCAUCUAAGAUUUAUUCUUCCUUUGCUGACUAGUUUUACUUUCUUUUGUUCAUUGUGAGCAACUGUGGAUCAUUUCAUUUGGGGCCAGAUCCUUUUCUUGCAUCAUUGAUUGGGCCACUUAGGCCCAAAGUCAUUCCCGCAUCACCCUUUCACUAUCAAGUCUCGAAUUGGAAAGCAAACAUUCGAAUUUCCAAUGGAAGGCAAUAUACAAGGCGGGAAAAUUGAAAUUAUAGAACCCGGGAGUCAGAAAAUGAGCUGAUAUUCAAGAAUAUACAGCGAUAUACAAUAAGUGUAUACGCUGUAUAUGGUGGCAAAAAUGGGCCAAAAGCCCUUCUUAAAUUUCAUAUUUGCAUUUGUGUUGUAUUUGGGCCAAAGGUCCAUAUAUUUUUAGUAUUACUCUUCUAGUUUUAGGACAGGAAAUUGGACAAAAAGCCCACUUAUCUUUGGCAGAUUUUGUUAGUUUUAGGACAGGUACAAGUGGUCCAAAGGCCCAAAACAAAGUAGGCCCAAGUGUUGGUCCAGGCGAACAGAAAAUCAGACUUGGGUCCAACGCCUUCUCUCUCUUUAUUUUAUCUGUAUUUCAUAUUUGUUUUGAUUAUUUAUUUGAUAGUUAAUUUUAAGGUUUUUCCCUAGUUCAAUUCCCC